rnacentral:rRNA from 1 species
GACGAACGCUGGCGGCGUGCUUAACACAUGCAAGUCGAACGGAAAGGCCCUGCUUUUGUGGGGUGCUCGAGUUGCGAACGGGUGAGUAACACGUGAGUAACCUGCCCUUGACUUUGGGAUAACUUCAGGAAACUGGGGCUAAUCCCGGAUAGGAGCUCCUGCUGCAUGGUGGGGGUUGGAUAGUUUCGGCGGUUGGGGAUGGACUCGCGGCUUAUCAGCUUGUUGGUGGGGUAGUGGCUUACCAAGGCUUUGACGGGUAGCCGGCCUGAGAGGGUGACCGGCCACAUUGGGCCGGAGAUACGGCACAGACUCGUACGGGAGGCAGCGGUGGGGAAUAUUGCACAAUGGGCGGAAGCCUGAUGCAGCAACGCCGCGUGCGGGAUGACGGCCUUCGGGUUGUAAACCGCUUUCGCCUGUGACGAAGCGUGAGUGACGGUAAUGGGUAAAGAAGCUCCGGCUAACUACGUG